AGCAGUGUAGUUCAGUGGUAGAACACAUGCUUAGCUCGCAUAAGGUCCUGGGUUCAAUCCUCAGUACCACCA
rnacentral:tRNA from 1 species